GACUCUCGGCAACGGAUAUCUCGGCUCUUGCAUCGAUGAAGAACGUAGCGAAAUGCGAUACUUGGUGUGAAUUGCAGAAUCCCGUGAACCAUCGAGUCUUUGAACGCAAGUUUACACUAAUGGUUGCAGGCCUCGCGUGUGUGUGC
rnacentral:rRNA from 2 species